rnacentral:rRNA from 1 species
GACGAACCGUGCUAACGUUAUUCGGAAUCACUGGGCUUAAAGGGCGCGUAGGCGGGCAGGCAAGUCGAAGGUGAAAUCCCACGGCUCAACCGUGGAAGUGCCCCCGAUACUGCCUGUCUGGAGGGAGAUAGGGGCGUGCGGAACUUCCGGUGGAGCGGUGAAAUGCGUAGAUAUCGGAAGGAACACCGGUGGCGAAAGCGGCGCGCUGGAUCUCUUCUGACGCUGAGGCGCGAAGGCCAGGGGAGCAAACGGG